rnacentral:rRNA from 1 species
AAUCAACGCUGGCGGCGUGCCUCAGACAUGCAAGUCGAACGAUUAAGACUUCCUUCGGGAAGUGCAUAAAGUGGCGCACGGGUGAGUAACACGUAAGUAAUCUACCCUCGAGUGGGGAAUAACAUCGGGAAACCGAUGCUAAUACCGCAUAAUGCAGUGGCACCGCAAGGUGACAGUUGUUAAAGGAGCAAUUCGCUUGAGGAGGAGCUUGCGGCAGAUUAGCUUGUUGGUAAGGUAACGGCUUACCAAGGCUACGAUCUGUAUCCGGUCUAAGAGGACGGGCGGACACACUGACACUGAAUAACGGGUCAGACUCCUACGGGAGGCAGCAGUCGGGAAUUUUGGGCAAUGGGCGAAAGCCUGACCCAGCAACGCCGCGUGAAGGAUGAAGUAUUUCGGUAUGUAAACUUCGAAAGAAUGGGAAGAAUAAAUGACGGUACCAUUUAUAAGCUCCGGCUAACUACGUGCCAGCAGCCGCCGUAACAC